rnacentral:rRNA from 1 species
UUACUCCUACGGGAGGCAGCAGUGGGGAAUAUUGGACAAUGGGGGCAACCCUGAUCCAGCAAUGCCGCGUGUAGUGAAGAAGGUCUUCGGAUUGUAAAGCACUUUCGACGGGGACGAUGAUGACGGUACCCGUAGAAGAAGCCCCGGCUAACUUCGUGCCAGCAGCCGCGGUAAUAA